UGGUAGUUCUACCUGCUUCUUUCCACGUGUUUAUGUCUGCAUUUCCUUGUGCAGUAGACAUCUGAGUCUGUGUUGUGUGCUGCGUCUGCGACUGCUCCGUGUGUGCUGGUCACACUUCAUCCUGUCCACAUGUGACCACUGCUCGCUGAGGAUCUCUGAGACCCCUUGGUCCAAGCAGAUGUCAGAUCCUGUGGAGUCCUUGACCUGCCCUUGACUCGGUCUGACUCAUGGUCACCUCCUCAAAUGGAUUCCCUUUACCACUGUGACACGUGCUGUUCUUCUGACUCUGCUGACUUCGCUCUUAAAUGUCAGAAUUCCUCAGAACUCUGCUCUUGGUCCUCCUUUCCUCUGAAGCCAUAUUCCUGGCCAGGAGUCUCGCCCUCUAUGCCCAAGGCUCCGCAGCUUUCCCUCAAGGCUGGCGUUUCCCCGAGGCCUGCCCUCCGCCCCACCCCACCCCUGGGGGCUGCCUCUCAGUCUCUGUGAGGAUGAAGUCGUCAUCUUCCCCAGCCCCGUCUCCUCCCGUGUUUUCUGUCCUGGCUGGUGGUGCCUGUCACCAGGAUCACCACGGGUUCAGCUGUGAGACAGACUCUGCAGAAAACUUUUCCACCUCCAGAAACUUGUGUCACUGUUGAUCAGGAGCUGGGUAACAGGUGUCCAGAGUCAAAUGCUGAAGAGUGCUUCCUGGGAGACACAGUGAGUCUGCACCCUUGCUCUGAUUGGAGCAGAGGUCGGUCUCUCCGGAGCGAGGGAGCAAGCCCGUCUCCAGUGGGACGAGACUGAGUAGACAGACUCAGGAAUUCGCUCCAGGCUGCCCACAGGAAGUGUGGUGUCUUGGAAGGUGCGGUGUGGAGGACCAACCAGUCUGCCGAGCGGUCUUCUCACAG